rnacentral:rRNA from 1 species
UGGGGAAUAUUGGGCAAUGGGCGCAAGCCUGACCCAGCAACGCCGCGUGGAGGAAGAAGGUUUUCGGAUUGUAAACUUCUGUCCUCAAGGACGAAAAAAAUGACGGUACUUGGGGAGGAAGCCCCGGCUAACUACGUGCCAGCAGCCGCGGUAAUACGUAGGGGGCAAGCGUUGUCCGGAAUUACUGGGCGUAAAGGGAGCGUAGGCGGUCCUUUAAGUUAGAUGUGAAAUACCCGGGCUUAACUUGGGAGGUGCAUCUAAAACUGGGGGACUUGAGUGCAGGAGAGGAAAGUGGAAUUCCUAGCGUAGCGGUGAAAUGCGUAGAUAUUAGGAGGAACACCAGUGGCGAAGGCGACUUUCUGGACUGUAACUGACGCUGAGGCUCGAAAGCGUGGGGAGCAAACA